UACGAAGGGGGCUAGCGUUGCUCGGAAUUACUGGGCGUAAAGGGAGCGUAGGUGGACAGUUUAGUCAGAGGUGAAAGCCCAGGGCUCAACCUUGGAAUUGCCUUUGAUACUGGCUGUCUUGAGUACGGAAGAGGUAUGUGGAACUCCGAGUGUAGAGGUGAAAUUCGUAGAUAUUCGGAAGAACACCAGUGGCGAAGGCGACAUACUGGUCCGUUACUGACACUGAGGCGCGAAAGCGUGGGGAGCGAACAGG
rnacentral:rRNA from 1 species